ACUCCUACGGGAGGCAGCAGUGGGGAAUAUUGCACAAUGGGCGUAAGCCUGAUGCAGCAACGUCGCGUGAGGGACGACGGCCUUCGGGUUGUAAACCUCUUUUAGUAGGGAAGAAGCGAAAGUGACGGUACCUGCAGAAAAAGCACCGGCUAACUACGUGCCAGCAGCCGCGGUAAUACGUAGGGUGCAAGCGUUAUCCGGAAUUAUUGGGCGUAAAGAGCUCGUAGGCGGUUUGUCGCGUCUGCUGUGAAAUCUGGGGGCUCAACCCCCAGCCUGCAGUGGGUACGGGCAGACUAGAGUGCGGUAGGGGAGAUUGGAAUUCCUGGUGUAGCGGUGGAAUGCGCAGAUAUCAGGAGGAACACCAAUGGCGAAGGCAGAUCUCUGGGCCGUAACUGACGCUGAGGAGCGAAAGCAUGGGGAGCGAACAGGAUUAGAUACCCUGGUAGUCCAUGCCGUAAACGUUGGGAACUAGAUGUAGGGGCCAUUCCACGGUUUCUGUGUCGCAGCUAACGCAUUAAGUUCCCCGCCUGGGGAGUACGGCCGCAAGGCUAAAACUCAAAGGAAUUGACGGGGGCCCGCACAAGCGGCGGAGCAUGCGGAUUAAUUCGAUGCAACGCGAAGAACCUUACCAAGGCUUGACAUAUACCGGAAAAGGCUGGAAACAGUCUCCCCGCAAGGUCGGUAUACAGGUGGUGCAUGGUUGUCGUCAGCUCGUGUCGUGAGAUGUUGGGUUAAGUCCCGCAACGAGCGCAACCCUCGUUCUAUGUUGCCAGCACGUUAUGGUGGGAACUCAUAGGAGACUGCCGGGGUCAACUCGGA
rnacentral:rRNA from 1 species